GACGAACGCUGGCGGCGUGCUUAACACAUGCAAGUCGAACGGAAAGGCCCUGCUUUUGUGGGGUGCUCGAGUGGCGAACGGGUGAGUAACACGUGAGUAACCUGCCCUUUACUUUGGGAUAACUUCAGGUAACUGGGGCUAAUACCGGAUAGUAGCUCCUGCUGCAUGGUGGGGGUUGGAAAGUUUCGGCGGUUGGGGAUGGACUCGCGGCUUAUCAGCUUGUUGGUGGGGUAGUGGCUUACCAAGGCUUUGACGGGUAGCCGGCCUGAGAGGGUGACCGGCCACAUUGGGACUGAGAUACGGCCCAGACUCCUACGGGAGGCAGCAGUGGGGAAUAUUGCACAAUGGGCGGAAGCCUGAUGCAGCAACGCCGCGUGCGGGAUGACGGCCUUCGGGUUGUAAACCGCUUUCGCCUGUGACGAAGCGUGAGUGACGGUAAUGGGUAAAGAAGCACCGGCUAACUACGUG
rnacentral:rRNA from 1 species